AACUCGAUCUCAAAAUCAAGUAAGACUACCCGCUGAACUUAAGCAUAUCAAUAAGCGGAGGAAAAGAAACUAACAAGGAAUCCCCCUAGUAACGGCGAGUGAAGCGGGAUGAGCUCAAAUUUAAAAUCUGGCUGGUUUACUAGUCCGAAUUGUAGUUUAUAGAAGCGUUUUCGGUGGCAGCCUGGGUAUAAAUCCUUUGGAAUAGGGUAUCAUAGAGGGUGAGAAUCCCGUCUUUGACUCAGUGCAUGCUACUAUGUGAUACGUUUUCAAAGAGUCGAGUUGUUUGGGAAUGCAGCUCAAAAUGGGUGGUAAAUUUCAUCUAAAGCUAAGUAUUGGCGAGAGACCGAUAGCGAACAAGUACCGUGAGGGAAAGAUGAAAAGAACUUUGAAAAGAGAGUUAAACUGUGCGUGAAAUUGUUGAAAGGGAAACGUUUGGCACCAGUUAUGCGGGUGGAAAAUCAGUCUUUUGCAAUGGGGAGUUGUGGGCGUUCAGACCGCAAGGCUGGCGUUUGCUUCAUCUUUGUUGUAAGUGAUGCACUUUUUCAUUUGCAGGUCAACAUCAGUUUGCUUUGCUGGACAAAACCCCAAGGGAAGGUGGCAGCUUAGGCUGUGUUAUAGCCCUGGGGCGAUACAGUGGAGUGGACUGAGGUUUCGCAGUGUGUGCUCUCGGGCAAGGCUGACUGGGUGCUAUGGGAUCGUUCGGCGUACAGUGCAUGCAUUUUGCGUCGUGUCUUUUUCAUACUCGCUCAACUCGGCUCUUC
rnacentral:rRNA from 1 species